CCCUUAGAUGUUCUGGGCCGCACGCGCGCUACACUGACGAAUGCAACGAGCUUAUAACCUUGGCCGAAAGGUCUGGGUAAUCUCCAAAUUUCGUCGUGAUGGGGAUAGAUUAUUGCAAUUAUUAAUCUUCAACGAGGAAUGCCUAGUAAGCGCAAGUCAUCAGCUUGCGUUGAUUACGUCCCUGCCCUUUGUACACACCGCCCGUCGCUCCUACCGAUUGAAUGGUCCGGUGAAGCGCUCGGACCGCGGCCUCUUGACGGUUUUCCGUCGAUUGGCUGUGGGAAGUUCGUUAAACCUUAUCAUUUAGAGGAAGGAGANGUCGUGACA
rnacentral:rRNA from 1 species